UCGUGAGUGAGCGACUCUGCAUGUGCUGCCCUGGCAAAUGAAAGCCAAUGAUGACUUCAGACAUGCUAAGCUUGAGGAUAUCUAAUGAUUUAAUGCAAGAAGCCUUGUCCUGUUGCAGGAACGUGAAAAAUCUUUUAGUCUAGCUGUUGAAGCUCUAAGUAAGUCCACAAGAAAGUGCUCCUAUCUAUCCAGAAAUGAGACUGACAGAACAAACCAGCAACAGGCAGCUAUGAAGCAUAGAUCUCAGCCAAUGAGAAACAGAGGCUGCAGAGGGCCAAA